ensembl:lncRNA
GGGCACAAGGAGCCACAGAAACAUACCUGGAUGGCAGAUUUCAGAGCGCUCAGGUGACUUUGCUGGGUAAUCAGUUACGACUUGUACACUGUCCACCUUCUAGUUACAGUCCCAGGACACUUCUGCUCCUUAUGUUUAAAUGUGCCACUCCAUCAAUCCAAGGUUAUUAAAGAUGGCUUAGGAACUUUAAAUCCCUAUGAAGAAAUCAGAAAGGAGGGGAAACACAACAGCCAGAAGAGCCUGCAUCUUCCAUGUCCUGUUACUCUUUUCUCACCGCUUCCCAGAAGGUACUGGGGGAUGGAGAAGAGCAGCCCAUUUUGUCUAUGCUCAAGUGAAAGUGAGCACUGUGAAGAACAAAUAAAAGAAUAUUGUAAUUAGAGCUGCUGUUUUGGGAAAGGAAAGCAAAGUAAGGUUGAGAAUGGCACAGCACGGACUCCAGCUGAACCUGGUCUUCUGCCUACUGUUAGGCAACCCCCAGUUGUGUGUGAACUGGCAGCAGUUUCACAAAGUCAUUGUCAAGGAAAAACAGAAAAAAACCCUGAUCUGAACGCAUACAUCAGCUGUACUGAUUGCCAAGGAGUGGACUUUGGGAACCCCGCAGUAUGCCUUCAGGUUUGGGGGCAAACAGAUCCAAUUACCCAAUCAGGGCAGUCUGGUCACAUAAGCAAAAGCCUUUAGCUAAACUGAAUGCCUGACUCAGACCAGCCCAUCAGUUCUGGCUUGUAAACAAGCUAUUUAUUUAAUAUUUUAAAUGCAACCUUUUGCUCCCAUUGUAUAAAAAUUCUUGAGCUGAAAUAGAACUGGAGAACAAGAAAUGUGAAGCAAGGUUAUUUUACAGCGGCCAAGUCUUUAUAACUAAGUCAUGUUCUGGCAUAGUUGAGAGAGAGCAGAUACUCCUCCCUCCUUGGUUCCCACCAGGAGAAGAGGGAAAGGCUCGCAUGGCCACUUAGGUUCUGGGGGAUGUUUUCCACAGAACAACCCCAAGUAUGUUGCCUUGUCUUGUUUUAGUGUCUUAUCCACUGGCUGCCACCAUUUCCUAUUUUGCAGCCUAAUGGAGCUUUAUUAAAACUGUUUUACUGUUAUCAGACUGAACUUUUAACUGUGGAAUGUCAUCGCCUUGUUCUUUCUUACUGUGUACUUUCUUCAGCCACGCUUAAGUGUCUUGGUUUUCACAUCCUCUGAGUAAACACUCCUGCCUCACCUCUGUUUGGGAAUUACAGUGUUAGGACACGUUACCCAAACCUACUGUAAACAAGACAAUGUCAACAUGAACAUAUGCUGAGGGGCAGAUAGUCUAGAUUUGCCCCUAGACUUUAACUUUACAGGUGUUAAAGGAUACUCUGCCGAGGGUAUGUCUAUAUAAUAGUGCAGAAGUAUCUGAGCUAGCUUUAAUGAGCUUGCAUAUGUAGUUGUGGCAGCAUGAAGCCCAGCACCGGCUAUCAUUAUCAUGUACAUUGACACGUGUAAAGAUAACGCAUUUGAACAGCAGCCUUCUGAAGCAUGGUCUCCAGAGUUGGUGACAGGAAAGGGUGGCUGAAAGGAGUUUGUCUCUUCAGCUCUCCUGGGAAAGGGUUCAUCUCACCUAAUGUUAAUAUGCCCAACUCUCACCUGAUGAGAGAUCAAAGGAACUGUCUUCCGGAGGUGCCUCUGACUUAAAUGUCUACCUUUAUAUUGCUUACAGUUAAGUGAGAUGAAUCCUGCUCUCCGUCCCUCUGGUCAGGUCUACAUUGCAAACCCUUGCCGACACGGACAUAUCAUCCAGGGUGCUUUGAGGUAUGAUUUGUGAUCGAUGUAGCUCUGCCAUCAAAAGCCUUGCACGUUAGGUGUAAAUAUACUACCAGAAACACCCUGUUGUCAGAACAGCUUGUAUCCCUUAUGGGGAGAACAGAGAGCUGGAGUAACUUACAGUGUCAUAGUAAGCACAGAGGCUUCAUUACAGCUGUGCCCAGUUUGAGAGGCGCUGGUUGAUGAAACCUCCUGCUAUAGCCAUGCUGGCAAAGCCUGGCAGGGGUGGCCCUGGCUUUUAGCAGUGCCCCGGAUGAUGCUCUGACCCGCUCAGCAGAUCCCAGCUUUCCAGCGUGAAGUCUCUAAGCGGCAGAAUGCAAUGUUGUCAUGUUUGGGUGAUUCCAGCAAAAAUUAUUGGCCAUUUAAAUAGCUAUGCAAGGAGUUAAAUAUUUUCUCAUAUUGCAGUCUCUUAUGGAAGCCAACCAACUGUGCUUUGGCUUUGUGUGGUUCAGCUGUUCUCACUGUUUCGUUUUAAAAGGAAUAACUGGGUUUUCUUUCAUUGUUUGAGAUCCCACCACUCUAUCAGGUCCCACAGCGUGUGCAGAUUUUUCAUGUUUCAAACAUCCUUAGGCCCUGAAAGUGCAAUGUUUGAAAAUUAACUCCUCCAAAGUUUCAGUUUGUGGCUUCACAUCUCUCUUGCAACAGGAUGCCUACGUGCCCAUUUGAAACAGAGCUGGCAAUGCAGUGAAUUGUUUCAUUGGAGGCAGCAUCGUGUUUUGUUUGAACUGUUUACAACUAUCCUUUGGUUUUCUUUUUUAUUCUUUUUUGUUUCUGAAUACAUUUCUGGUUCACUGGCUACAGAAACCUACUCGUAAUUAUGCAAUGGGAUAUUGUUUCUUUUUUUUUCUUUUUAUUUUUGUUUCCUUUCUUUUUAAUGUCCUGAUGUUCAAGGAGUUUGCAAUAAAUAUACUGAGGCUGCUCUGUAAUUGCAUGUAAGAUCAGCCUCACAACUGUGUUUUGUAAAGUUAAGUGCCGUAAAAGAACCUGUAGAUGACGUGGAGAAGGAGGGAAGGGAGAGUAAGUGGAGGAGAAGGCUUCUCUGGCAGCUGCAGCUUUGGUGGGUAGCAGCUUUAAAGAAAGACUGCUCACACCAUUUUGUUUCAUCCGAGUAGCAGCGUGCAUCAUCAGACAGUGUAUGAUGGCAUUUUGUUGAAAACAUGCCUAGAGAGAAACUUUUACGGCUCAGCUGUUUACCUGUUCCUGUAUUCAUGCCUGCAAUAAAUGAGAUGAAAAAUAAA